UACGAAGGGUGCAAGCGUUACUCGGAAUUACUGGGCGUAAAGGGCUCGUAGGUGGCCAACUAAGUCAGACGUGAAAUCCCCAGGCUCAACCUGGGAACUGCGUCUGAUACUGGAUGGCUUGAAUUCGGGAGAGGGAUGCAGAAUUCCAGGUGUAGCGGUGAAAUGCGUAGAUAUCUGGAGGAAUACCGGUGGCGAAGGCGGCAUCCUGGACCGAUAUUGACACUGAUGAGCGAAAGCCAGGGGAGCAAACGGG
rnacentral:rRNA from 1 species